CUCCACCAAAACUUCUGCUACUUGUAAAGCACAAUUAACCCAUUUGUCUUCCCACUUCAACACACGGCUAGCUAGCUAGCUCCAUCCCUCCUCUCUGACAUUUCAGUUUCCAGAUUGAUCAUGGCACCUAAGGAUAUUAAAAUCGGACUAGUCGUGUUCUUUGUCGUCCUCGUGCUAUCGAACGUCGCUGCGGCGCAAUCACCUGAAUCGGGUGAUUGCGACAACGUUCCAGGGGAAUGUGUCCCAAUCACGGUUCCCAUCGACGAACUUAUUGACGCAGAUCACCUGGUUAACCUUGAUGGCCCUCUAGUUGAUCCUAUUAAUAUUGAUCCUUAAACAGCUGGGAUCACAGGUUCCAGAGCAGUGCCUUCAACAGAUGGUGCCUGAUCAUCUGGUGAUAGCUGUGCCCGUUCAAAUGAUCACCCCCUUCAAGUUUGCAGUGUGCUUCUUUCUCUUCAUUGUGUCAUCUCAUGUCAUGUAUUAUAAAUAAGCUGUUGACAAUUAAUGUUACGAGACGUCCCGAUCGAGGGCGUUGAUUUAUCAGUACUGUUUGCUUUUUCGUGGUCCGGUUUGCAGUAAGUUGAAACGAAGGAUGCUUUUCUCAAUGUUUAGAUUUAGAUUAUUGUUGUUUGUUUCCCCGGCUGGCAUCAUCAGGAGAUGGCCAGGAUUUCAUGUGUGUGAUUGUACGUAUCAUUUGACAUUUUAAGAAAAUAAGGAAUGAAGGGGGCAGGAACUUCUGUUCGUUCAUCUA